rnacentral:tRNA from 1 species
UGAGCACCUGGCCCGGCGCCAGGGUGGCGCUGCUGCUGGUGCCGCUGAGCUGUGUCUGCCCGUUCAGGUAGCGUUCGUGGCGCAGGCGCGCAU